rnacentral:tRNA from 1 species
GGGCGGUUAGCUCAGGGGGAGAGCGCUACCUUGACACGGUAGAGGUCACUGGUUCGAAACCAGUAUCGCCCA